GCACUGCUGAGGAGUCCCACAAUAGGACGAAACGGCCUGUCCAGUGC
rfam:Schistosoma mattheei strain Denwood, Zambia genome assembly, scaffold: SMTD_scaffold0001055